CCCUUAGUAACUGCGAGUGAAGAGGGAAAAGCUCAAAUUUAAAAUCUGGCAGUCUUCUGAUUGUCCGAGUUGUAAUUUAGAGAAGUGCUACCCGUGUUGGCCCGUGUAUAAGUUUCCUGGAAUGGAACGUCAUAGAGGGUGAGAAUCCCGUCUUUGACACGGACUACCAAUGCUUUUGUUGGUGUGCUCUCGAAGAGUCGAGUUGUUUGGGAAUGCAGCUCUAAAUGGGUGGUAAAUUCCAUCUAAAGCUAAAUAUUGGGGAGAGACCGAUAGCGAACAAGUACCGUGAGGGAAAGAUGAAAAGAACUUUGGAAAGAGAGUUAAACAGUACGUGAAAUUGCUGAAAGGGAAACGCUUGAAGUCAGUCACAUUAUUUGGGGAUCAGCCUGCCUUUCUUUGGUUGGUGUACUUCCUGAUUAAUGGGUCAGCAUCAGUUUUGACCGGUGGAUAAGAGCUUGAGGAAUGUGGCAUCUCCGGGUGUGUUAUAGCCUCUUGUUGUAUACAUCGGUUGGGACUGAGGAACUCAGCACGCCGCAAGGCCGGGUUGUUUACAAUCACGUACGUGCUUAGGAUGCUGGCAUAAUGGCUUUAAUCGACCCGUCUUGAAACACGGACCAAGGAGUCUAACAUGCCUGCGAGUGUUUGGGUGGAAAACCCGAGCGCAUAAUGAAAGUGAAAGUUAGGAUCUCUGUUAGUGGAGAGCACUGACGCCCGGCCCAGACCUUUUGUGACGGUGCCGCGGUUGAGCAUGUAUGUUGGGACCCGAAAGAUGGUGAACUAUGCCUGAAUAGGGUGAAGCCAGAGGAAACUCUGGUGGAGGCUCGUAGCGAUUCUGACGUGCAAAUCGAUCGUCAAAUUUGGGUAUAGGG
rnacentral:rRNA from 1 species